GAGGGUAGAGCUCAGUGGCAGAGUGCAUGUUUGGCAUGCAUGAGGUCCUGGGUUCAAUCCCCAGUACCACCA
rnacentral:tRNA from 1 species